UACAGAGGGGGCAAGCGUUGUUCGGAAUUACUGGGCGUAAAGGGCGCGUAGGCGGCCUUCUAAGUCGAACGUGAAAUCCCUGGGCUCAACCCAGGAACUGCGUCCGAUACUGGAAGGCUUGAAUCCGGGAGAGGGAUGCGGAAUUCCAGGUGUAGCGGUGAAAUGCGUAGAUAUCUGGAGGAACACCGGUGGCGAAGGCGGCAUCCUGGACCGGUAUUGACGCUGAGGCGCGAAAGCUAGGGGAGCGAACAGG
rnacentral:rRNA from 1 species